rnacentral:rRNA from 14 species
AGUGCAAAGUUUAUGUAAAAGUAAAUGGAGGACUGAACUCGUGUAUGUUGCAAAAUACUGGGAUGAAUUGUGUUUAGGAGGAAAAGG